CACGUAGGCGGCUUUCUAAGUCGGGGGUGAAAUCCUGGAGCUCAACUCCAGAACUGCCUUCGAUACUGGAAAGCUCGAGUCCGGGAGAGGUGAGUGGAACUGCGAGUGUAGAGGUGAAAUUCGUGGAUAUUCGCAAGAACACCAGUGGCGAAGGCGGCUCACUGGCCCGGUACUGACGCUGAGGUGCGAAAGCGUGGGGAGCAAACA
rnacentral:rRNA from 1 species